CAGAGUAUAGCUUAAAUUAAAGCCCCCCGCUUACACCGAGUUGAUGUUCAAUAAAUCUGAACUACCCUGA
rnacentral:tRNA from 1 species